AGGGCUUGACAAAAACAAAUACAAGUUUUCAGGUCUACUCUAUGGGAAGAAAAUAGUUGUUUCACUCAUGUGACUUGCAAAUCAGCACGAGGUUAAUUUCCAGGAAGGUGAUGUAUAAUAGCAUGCAUUGUUUCCCCAUCUAGGAGACCACUUCCGGCCCAGGCACAGGCUGUCUUUAGGAGCAGCUCCAGGACUGGCUGAAGGUCCUCAGACCUCUUCACACCCCCAAUGUCCUCUACAUCUGCUAACAAGGAGACCACGUGCCGCUCAGCCUGACAGGGUUCCACUCGAAGGUCCCUCAAGUCUCCUGGGGUCAGAGUGUGACUGACCAGCCACUCUGGAGAAGGUCCUGGGAGGAGGUUAAGAACUGGCUACGCUAAGAAGAUGAACAGAAGAAAGCCAUGAAUGCAGUUCAUGGUACCUUCCCCAAGUUCUUGAAAAUAUUCUUCUUCUAAUAUAAAAGGAUGGAAUCAUCUGUGUUAUUGACAAAGUCAUAAAGCAACUUGAUGCAGAACAUUCCCUCAGCUGUUCAAGGCACUGGGGAAGAAAGGAAACUCAUGCAGGAGAGGACAGCGCUUACCAGCUCCAGGGACCAGGCACCCCAACACAGCCUGAAUCAACAUGACAAAAGCGAGUGGUAAUAGAGAAGCAGAUCCUGCACCCCCAAAGGUAGGCGGGCCUCAAGAGCCCAAGCAGUAACAGUGCUGAGCACCUACUGUGUGCUGUGCUCUUUGCUGCAGGCCCUCAUAUUCCUCACUAGAUUCUGGUGAGUUAGGUGUUACCCUUUGUUUUAUAGAGGACACGGAGGUUCAAUGAGCAUAAAUGACUGGAUUAAGAGUAAAGGGUGGCAUUUGAGCCUCGGUCUGUCUGGCCAAGCAGCAGGAAGCCCGGUGCCUGAGCAGAACAAGUUUGGGUACCCCAGGGUGCAGACUUGCUGUUACAGUAAUAAGUUUAGUUAGUAUAAGAUAGUAUAAUCAAAUUUCAUUUUUUUUAUUAGAGUGAAUUUUAAACUUUACUUAGAAGUGAAACUUAACUUGUGUGUGUGUGUGUGUGUGAGACCCUGAUAAGUAACUUGUAAUGCCCUGCAAGCUAACUCCUGACCAAUAACUCCCAGCAUGUUAACUCCUGAUAAGAAACUUGCAACCCCCUGCGUGUGCAUCCUGACAAGCCCAGAAGGCCACCGGAGCACACUGGCAAGAGACACUGAAGAAGCCUGUUAUAGUAAUAAGUUUAGUUAGCAUAAAGUAAACUCACUUUGUAUUAGCAUAAGUUAGCAUAAGUAGACCCCAU